GCGGCGUGCUUAACACAUGCAAGUCGAGCGAGAAAGGCCCUUCGGGGCUGAGUACAGCGGCAGACGGGUGCGUAACACGUGGGAAUCUACCUUUUAGUGGAGAAUACCCUCGAGAAAUCGAGGUUAAUACUGCAUACGUCUCGUAAGAGAGAAAGAUGGCCUCUUUGCUGUCGCUGAAAGAUGAGCCUGCGGACUAUUAGCUUGUUGGUGGGGUAAAGGCCUACCAAGGCAAUGAUGGUUAGCCGGCCUGAGAGGGUGUACGGCCACACUGGAACCUAGACACGGUCCAGACUCCUACGGGAGGCAGCAGUGAGGAAUAUUGCGCAAUGGGCGAAAGCCUGACGCAGCGACGCCGCGUGGAGGAUGAAGGUCUUAGGAUUGUAAACUUCUGUUAAGUGGGAAGAAAGAGGUUGUGUUAAUACCACAACAAGAUGACGGUACCACUAAAGAAAGCACCGGCUAACUUCGUGCCAGCAGCCGCGGUAAUACGAAGGGUGCAAACGUUAUUCGGAUUUAUUGGGCGUAAAGGGUACGCAGGCGGUGCGUUAAGUCAACUGUUAAAUCUCCCGGCCUAACCGGGAAUCAGCGGUAGAUACUGGCGCGCUAGAGGAUGGAAGAGAGAAGUGGAAUUCUUGGAGUAGAGGUAAAAUUCGUAGAUCUCAAGAGGAACAUCGAUGGCGAAGGCAGCUUCUUAGUCCAUAUCUGACGCUCAGGUACGAAAGCGUGGGGAGCAAAC
rnacentral:rRNA from 1 species